rnacentral:rRNA from 1 species
GACGAACGCUGGCGGCGUGCUUAACACAUGCAAGUCGAGCGGAAGGGCCACUUCGGUGGUACUCGAGCGGCGAACGGGUGCGUAACACGUACGUAAUCUUCCCCUCACUUUGGGAUAGCCACCGGAAACGGUAAUUAAUACCAGAAAUGACCAUAUGUCUCAUGCCGAGUGGUGGAAAGUUUGUCGGGGAGGGAUGUGCUCGCGGCCUAUCAGCUUGAUGGUGAGGUAAUGUCUGCCCAUGGCUUCGACGGGUAGCCGGCCUGAGAGGGUGACCGGUCACACGGGGACUGAGACACGGCGCAGACGCGUACGGGAGGCAGCAGUGGGGAAUAUUGGACAAUGGGCGGAAGCCUGAGCCAGCAACGCCGCGUGAGUGAUGACGUGUUUUGGGUUGUAAACCUCUUUCAGUACCGACGAAGCGAAAGUGACGGUAGGUACAGAAGAAGCACCGGCUAACUACGUG